UAAGACACAGAUUGUCUCUUCUUCCGCAGGAGAAUAAAGGCCUGGCUUCCUUCUCUCCUGGCGUCUCUCCCAGAAUGCCUCUCGGGACCAUCAUUCUUCUUCCAUCUCCAGGGAUCGGUGCCAGCGCUAUGGGCAGAGAGAGGCUGCAUGGAAGCAGCAAAAAACGGAUCCUUCUUCCCUCCUUCUCCUCCCGCCUCCCCCAUGAAGAUGCAGUAUGUUUUGCUGGAGAGAUUCCGGCUGAAAUGUGACUCCCCCCCCCCCCAACCUGCCAACGGGCCAUUUGACUCAAGGCAGGAUAGGAGGGCACCCUGGGGCCUAUUUCUGUUUACUAGCGGGUAGCAGAAUUGCUCGCUCCAUUAAGGCUGGCAGUAGGACUGCAAGGCAGGCAGACUCUCUUCCUGCUCCCAGGCCUUGGGACAGAAGAUGCUCACCCAAAUUUGUUGUGAUGCUUGGACUGGAACUGCCUCACAGAGUCGAGGGGGGACACAUCAGCGCAGCACUGGAGCACUUGUCCCCAGUUCAAUUUACAGCCUCUCAACAGCAACAACAAACUCAAUUUAUGGAAGUUUUUCUCUGCCCCUCUCAUAAUACCAUACCCUCCAACAGUGCUUUCUUUCUUUAAAAAAUGUUUAGGGGUACUCUCAGUUUGACUAAAGAAAACCACCAUUUUAUAGUUCAAAUCGGG